GUCAAAGUAGCUCAGCUGGUUAGAGCGCUGGUCUCAUAAGCCGGAGGUCGAGGGUUCGAGUCCCUCUUUUGACACCA
rnacentral:tRNA from 2 species